rnacentral:rRNA from 1 species
UACAGAGGUCUCAAGCGUUGUUCGGAUUCAUUGGGCGUAAAGGGUGCGUAGGUGGUGAUGCAAGUCUGGUGUGAAAUCUCGGAGCUCAACUCCGAAAUUGCACCGGAUACUGCGUGACUCGAGGACUGUAGAGGAGAUCGGAAUUCACGGUGUAGCAGUGAAAUGCGUAGAUAUCGUGAGGAAGACCAGUUGCGAAGGCGGAUCUCUGGGCAGUUCCUGACACUGAGGCACGAAAGCCAGGGGAGCAAACGGG